rnacentral:tRNA from 1 species
UAGAGAAAUAGGAGUCGAACCUAUAAUUAGGAGAUCAAAACUCCUAGUAAUCCCA